rnacentral:rRNA from 1 species
AGAGUUUGAUCCUGGCUCAGAACGAACGCUGGCGGCAGGCUUAACACAUGCAAGUUGAACGGGAUUUGUGUGGUGCUUGCACCAUAUAAUGAGAGUAGCGCACUGGUGAGUAACACGUGGGAACGUGCCUUUUAGUGGGGGAUAACAUCUGGAAACGGAUGCUAAUACCGCAUACGCCCUGAGGGGGAAAGAUUUAUUGCUAAGAGGUCGGCCCGCGGUAGAUUAGGCAGUUGGUGGGGUAAAGGCCUACCAAACCUACGAUCUAUAGCUGGUCUGAGAGGACGAUCAGCCACAUUGGAACUGAGACACGGUCCAAACUCCUACGGGAGGCAGCAGUGAGGAAUAUUGGGCAAUGGAGGCAACUCUGACCCAGCCAUGCCGCGUGAGUGAGAAGGUUUUCGAAUUGUAAAGCUCUUUCGGGUGUGAAGAUGAUGACGGUAACACCAGAAGAAGCCCCGGCAAACUUCGUGCCAGCAGCCGCGGUAAUACGAAGGGGGCGAGCGUUGUUCGGAAUUACUGGGCGUAAAGGGUGUGUAGGCGGUUAAGUAAGAUAGUGGUGAAAUGCCGGGGCUCAACCUCGGAAUUGCCAUUAUGACUAUUUAGCUAGAAUGAUGCAGAGGAUAGCGGAAUACCCAGUGUAGAGGUGAAAUUCGUAGAUAUUGGGUAGAACACCAGAGGCGAAGGCGGCUAUCUGGGCAUUGAUUGACGCUGAGGCACGAAAGCAUGGGGAUCAAACAGGAUUAGAUACCCUGGUAGUCCAUGCUGUAAACGAUGAAUGCUAGUUGUUGGAGGAAUUCAGUGACGCAGUUAACACAAUAAGCAUUCCGCCUGGGGAGUACGGUCGCAAGAUUAAAACUCAAAGGAAUUGACGGGGACCCGCACAAGCGGUGGAGCAUGUGGUUUAAUU